rnacentral:rRNA from 1 species
AAUGCUGACAUAAGUAACGAUAAAGCGGGUGAAAAGCCCGCUCGCCGGAAGACCAAGGGUUCCUGUCCAACGUUAAUCGGGGCAGGGUGAGUCGACCCCUAAGGCGAGGCCGAAAGGCGUAGUCGAUGGGAAACAGGUUAAUAUUCCUGUACUUGGUGUUACUGCGAAGGGGGGACGGAGAAGGCUAUGUUGGCCGGGCGACGGUUGUCCCGGUUUAAGCGUGUAGGCUGGUUUUCCAGGCAAAUCCGGAAAAUCAAGGCUGAGGCGUGAUGACGAGGCACUACGGUGCUGAAGCAACAAAUGCCCUGCUUCCAGGAAAAGCCUCUAAGCAUCAGGUAACAUCAAAUCGUACCCCAAACCGACACAGGUGGUCAGGUAGAGAAUACCAAGGCGCUUGAGAGAACUCGGGUGAAGGAACUAGGCAAAAUGGUGCCGUAACUUCGGGAGAAGGCACGCUGAUAUGUAGGUGAAGUCCCUCGCGGAUGGAGCUGAAAUCAGUCGAAGAUACCAGCUGGCUGCAACUGUUUAUUAAAAACACAGCACUGUGCAAACACGAAAGUGGACGUAUACGGUGUGACGCCUGCCCGGUGCCGGAAGGUUAAUUGAUGGGGU